GUAGUCCACGCCGUAAACGAUGGAUACUUGAUGUUAGAGGUAUUGACCCCUCUAGUGUCGAAGCUAACGCGUUAAGUAUCCCGCCUGGGGAGUACGGUCGCAAGAUUAAAACUCAAAGAAAUUGACGGGGGCCCGCACAAGCGGUGGAGUAUGUGGUUUAAUUCGAUGCAACGCGAAAAACCUUACCUGGGUUUGGAAUCUCCUGAACGCCUGAGAGAUCAGGAAGGCUCGAAAGAGACAGGAAGACAGGUGCUGCAUGGCUGUCGUCAGCUCGUGUCGUGAGAUGUUGGGUUAAGUCCCGCAACGAGCGCAACCCUUAUCCUUAGUUGCCAGCAUUCAGUUGGGCACUCUAAGGAGACUGCCAACGUUAAGUUGGA
rnacentral:rRNA from 1 species